UACGUAGGGUGCAAGCGUUGUCCGGAAUUAUUGGGCGUAAAGAGCUCGUAGGCGGUCCGUCACGUCGGCUGUGAAAACCCGAGGCUCAACCUCGGGCCUGCAGUCGAUACGGGCAGACUAGAGUGCGGUAGGGGAGACUGGAAUUCCUGGUGUAGCGGUGAAAUGCGCAGAUAUCAGGAGGAACACCGGUGGGCGAAGGCGGCAUCCUGGACCAAUUCUGA
rnacentral:rRNA from 1 species